UGUAGAAUGCAAACGGAAAGUCGUGAAUAAGUUGCACUGGCGUGAGCAGUUUGAUAGCAAAGUAAUAAUGGGUAAAUUGUUUACACAUAUAUUUAUCAUGGAACAUAUAUCAGCGAUUUGUUUAUUAAGUAGUAAAUUCAUGCACAGAAAAAAAGACUUGUAAAAACUUACAUUAUUUACUAAGAACUUGAUAUUGGAAUUGUAAAAUGUAGCCUAAAAUAGCCGAGUUAGAUAAUUUAUUCAGAAUCAGCUACCUAAAUUGUGUAAUUUAGAUUUCUGUGUGCUGCAGUUCGAAGCUUAGUACAUAACUGCAGUUUUUAGCAUUAUCAACU